GGAAAGGUGGCCGAGUGGCUUAAGGCGCACGCUUGGAAAGCGUGUGUAGGGGCAACUCUACCGUGGGUUCGAAUCCCACCCUUUCCGCCA
rnacentral:tRNA from 1 species